UGGGGAAUAUUGCACAAUGGAGGGAACUCUGAUGCAGCGACGCCGUGUGAACGAAGAAGGCUUUCGAGUCGUAAAGUUCUUUUAUAUGGGAAGAUAAUGACGGUACCAUAAGAAAAAGCCCCGGCUAACUACGUGCCAGCAGCCUCGGUAAUACGUAGGGGGCUAGCGUUGUCCGGAAUCACUGGGCGUAAAGGGUUCGCAGGCGGAAAUGCAAGUCAGGUGUAAAAGGCAGUAGCUUAACUACUGUAAGCAUUUGAAACUGCAUAUCUUGAGAAGAGUAGAGGUAAGUGGAAUUUUUAGUGUAGCGGUGAAAUGCGUAGAUAUUAAAAAGAAUACCGGUGGCGAAGGCGACUUACUGGGCUCAUUCUGACGCUGAGGAACGAAAGCGUGGGUAGCAAACAGG
rnacentral:rRNA from 1 species